rfam:Rattus norvegicus chromosome 7, whole genome shotgun sequence.
GGAGAUUUAGCUCAGCAGUAGAGCGCUUGCCUAGCAAGCGCAAGGCCCUGGGUUCGAUCCCCAGCUCCG